rnacentral:rRNA from 1 species
GUGAGGAAUAUUGCGCAAUGGAGGCAACUCUGACGCAGCCAUGCCGCGUGCAGGAAGAAGGCGCUACGCGUUGUAAACUGCUUUUAACCGGGAAGAAACCCCAGGACGUGUCCUGGGUUGACGGUACCGGAGGAAUAAGCACCGGCUAACUUCGUGCCAGCAGCCGCGGUAAUACGAAGGGUGCAAGCGUUAUCCGGAUUCAUUGGGUUUAAAGGGUGCGUAGGCGGGGCGUUAAGUCAGUGGUGAAAUCCUGCAGCUUAACUGUAGACUUGCCAGUGAUACUGGCGCUCUUGAGUGCGCUUGAAGUGGGCGGAAUGUGCCGUGUAGCGGUGAAAUGCUUAGAUAUGGCACAGAACACCAAUUGCGAAGGCAGCUCACUAAGGCGAUACUGACGCUGAGGCACGAAAGCGUGGGGAUCGAACAGGAUUAGAAACCCGAGUAGUCC